rnacentral:rRNA from 1 species
GAUGAACGCUGGCGGCGUGCCUAAUACAUGCAAGUCGAGCGAACGGACGAGAAGCUUGCUUCUCUGACGUUAGCGGCGGACGGGUGAGUAACACGUGGAUAACCUACCUAUAAGACUGGGAUAACUUCGGGAAACCGGAGCUAAUACCGGAUAAUAUUUUGAACCGCAUGGUUCAAAAGUGAAAGACGGUCUUGCUGUCACUUAUAGAUGGAUCCGCGCUGCAUUAGCUAGUUGGUAAGGUAACGGCUUACCAAGGCAACGAUGCAUAGCCGACCUGAGAGGGUGAUCGGCCACACUGGAACUGAGACACGGUCCAGACUCCUACGGGAGGCAGCAGUAGGGAAUCUUCCGCAAUGGGCGAAAGCCUGACGGAGCAACGCCGCGUGAGUGAUGAAGGUCUUCGGAUCGUAAAACUCUGUUAUUAGGGAAGAACAUAUGUGUAAGUAACUGUGCACAUCUUGACGGUACCUAAUCAGAAAGCCACGGUUAACUACGUG